AACCCACCCACCGACAUCAUAGAUCAGAGCGACCAGAUCGCCCUCCACAAUGCCGUGCGACUAGGAAACGCAACGUGCGUGUACCUGCUUCUGAAACACGGGGCCAGUGUCAACCUACAAAAUAAGACAACCAGCAGAACGGCACUGCAUGAGGCUGCAAUACGAGGUCACGUGACCAUCACGCAAAUACUGCUGUGUUAUGGUGCGUCAUCGAGCAUUAAGGACA